rnacentral:rRNA from 1 species
UACGUAGGGGCCUAGCGUUGUCCGGAUUUAUUGGGCGUAAAGAGCUCGUAGGCGGUUCGGCAAGUCGGAUGUGAAAUCUCCACGCUUAACGUGGAGCGUGCGGUCGAUACGGGCAGACUUGAGUUCGGUAGGGGAGACUGGAAUUCCUGGUGUAGCGGUGAAAUGCGCAGAUAUCAGGAGGAACACCGGUGGCGAAGGCGGGUCUCUGGGCCGAUACUGACGCUGAGGAGCGAAAGCGUGGGGAGCGAUCCGG